rnacentral:rRNA from 1 species
CCUACGGGAGGCAGCAGUAGGGAAUUUUGGACAAUGGGCGAAAGCCUGAUGCAGCAACGCCGCGUGAGGGAUGAAGGCCUUCGGGUUGUAAACCUCUUUUAGCAGGGAAGAAGCGAAAGUGACGGUACCUGCAGAAAAAGCACCGGCUAACUACGUGCCAGCAGCCGCGGUAAUACGUAGGGUGCAAGCGUUGUCCGGAAUUAUUGGGCGUAAAGAGCUCGUAGGCGGUUUGUCACGUCUGCUGUGAAAAUCCAAGGCUCAACCUUGGACUUGCAGUGGGUACGGGCAGGCUAGAGUGCGGUAGGGGAGAUGGGAAUUCCUGGUGUAGCGGUGGAAUGCGCAGAUAUCAGGAGGAACACCAAUGGCGAAGGCACAUCUCUGGGCCGUAACUGACGCUGAGGAGCGAAAGCGUGGGGAGCAAACAGGAUUAGAUACCCUGGUAGUCCACGCCGUAAACGGUGGGUGCUAGCUGUGGGCCACAUUCCACGUGGUCCGUAACGAAGUUAACACAUUAAGCACCCCGCCUGGGGAGUACGGCCGCAAGGCUAAAACUCAAAGGAAUUGACGG